AGCAGCCGCGGUAAUUCCAGCUCCAAUAGCGUAUAUUAAAGUUGUUGCAGUUAGAAAGCUCGUAGUUGAAUUUCGGGACUAAUAUGUCGGUCGUACUUUGUACGUACUAGCAUUAUUGGUUUCUCCCUUCUGACGAACCACGAUGUCAUUAAUUUGGUGUCAUGGGAAAUCAGGACUGUUACUUUGAAAAAAUUAGAGUGUUUAAAGCAAGCUCGCGCUUGAAUACAUUAGCAUGGAAUAAUGAAAUAGGACGUUUGAUUCUAUUUUGUUGGUUUCUAGGAUCGACGUAAUGAUUAAUAGGGAUAGUUGGGGGCAUUAGUAUUCAAUUGUCAGAGGUGAAAUUCUUGGAUUUAUUGAAGACUAACUACUGCGAAAGCAUUUGCCAAGGAUGUUUUCAUUAAUCAAGAACGAAAGUUAGGGGAUCGAAGACGAUCAGAUACCGUCGUAGUCUUAACCAUAAACUAUGCCGACUAGGGAUCGGAUGAUGUUAAU
rnacentral:rRNA from 1 species